GCUGCGUGUGUUAUUGUGCUGAUAUCUUAUUUCUAAUUGUGUUGACAGCUGACUCCUGAAUUUUUUAUUUUUACCUUUUACGCCAUUUUUUCUAAAAGUGUGCACCAUCUUUUAGGUUAAAUACUUGCAUUUGGGCUGUUACAAAGCAAAUGCAAUCAGUAUCAACGGAAUUGAUCUUUGCAAUGCAGAGAAAACAGAAGCUGCAUCUGAAAUGCCAUUGUUUGUACACACUGUUUAAUGCAGCUCUGAGGGACAUGGAAUACUUUAACCUGCAGUUACAAAUGAAUAAAUAACGUUUUGAGAUUUAAAACAUAAAACAUUGAAAACUGAUGUUUGAAAUUAUUUUAAAAAUGAAAAGGUACCUUAAAUGUGAAAUUAAAACCGCCAGUGGGUGGCAGCGAGUCACUGUUAAUAAGUGAGUCAUUGCGAUUGAACCGAAUAAUUUAAACGAUUGAUUCAUUCAGGAACGAAACACUAUCAUGUUGCUCAGAGAUGCAAAACAGUGGCUGUGUUUGGAAUGAUGUUUAUAUAAAUAGAGCAAAAACAGGGAAUAUGUUGUCUAAAACAUAAAUCUCUUGAUAUUAACUUCUUGUUUAUUGAACUGUUGUAUAAAAUCAAUAUCACAUUUGUAAUUUUGCUGACUUUUGGAGAAAAACGUCACUCUUCUUCGUGUGAUAGUAACUAUAUGGAAUUACAUAAAUUAUAUAGAUCUAUAAAUGUUCUGCCCCAUAUCUUGAAAAAUGUGAUAAUUCUAAAUUUCCAGUGAAAGAAUGCACUAUAAAUGCGUAUGCGCACUAGUCUAGACCAUAUGUGAGCGGAGUGGAGUGGCAACAAUUUCCCUCCGCGCUCCGAGCAUUUAAUAAUCCCUCCACUCCGCGCUCACUGAUACCAGAAACACCGCUCCGCCUUCGCUCCUUGGAUAAAGUAUUUCAGUAUGUUUGAAAUGUUAUGUUCACAACGUAGCCUAUAUAAAAAUAAAAUAAAUAAAAAAAUCACAGGAGAGUUUCCAAGUGGCUUAGGCUAUUUUGUGCAAACUUUUUUUCCUACCACACGCCAAACUAAUAACAUGGUUGUCACCAUUAAAAGGUAUAAUUGCUGCUUUCUGCUGUGCAAAUUUUGUUUGCGAUGAAGUACAUUUUCGUCAGUUUAUUUUAUCUACAGAUCGAUGCAUUUCUUACAGAUUUCUGCUCAUUCAAAAUCAGAUACAGAUGAAGUAGCACUGUAAGAUUACAUUUGUUUGAAUGCAUCAUUGCGAAAGCGAUUGCGUGUGAAUGUGCUGUAUCUGUUUAAAUCCCGCUUUAACCCGAAAAUAUUCAUUAAAAGAGACAGACAAAUUCUUUGAGGACUAUAACUUCCCGCUCGGC
rnacentral:lncRNA from 12 species